GAUGAACGCUGGCGGCGUGCCUAAUACAUGCCAGUCGAGCGAACGGACGAGAAGCUUGCUUUUCUGAUGUUAGCGGCGGACGAGUGAGUAACACGUGGAUAACCUACCUAUAAGACUGGGAUAACUUCGGGAAACCGGAGCUAAUACCGGAUAAUAUUUUGAACCGCAUGGUUCAAAAGUGAAAGACGGUCUUGCUGUCACUUAUAGAUGGAUCCGCGCUGCAUUAGCUAGUUGGUAAGGUAACGGCUUACCAAGGCAACGAUGCAUAGCCGACCUGAGAGGGUGAUCGGCCACACUGGAACUGAGACACGGUCCAGACUCCUACGGGAGGCAGCAGUAGGGAAUCUUCCGCAAUGGGCGAAAGCCUGACGGAGCAACGCCGCGUGAGUGAUGAAGGUCUUCGGAUCGUAAAACUCUGUUAUUAGGGAAGAACAUAUGUGUAAGUAACUGUGCACAUCUUGACGGUACCUAAUCAGAAAGCCACGGCUAACUACGUG
rnacentral:rRNA from 1 species